AUUGAACGCUGGCGGCAGGCUUAACACAUGCAAGUCGAGCGGGGAGAAGUGCUUCGGUACUGAUCCUAGCGGCGGACGGGUGAGUAAUGCUUAGGAAUCUGCCUAUUAGUGGGGGACAACAUUCCGAAAGGGAUGCUAAUACCGCAUACGUCCUACGGGAGAAAGCAGGGGAUCAUUUGACCUUGCGCUAAUAGAUGAGCCUAAGUCGGAUUAGCUAGUUGGUGGGGUAAAGGCCUACCAAGGCGACGAUCUGUAGCGGGUCUGAGAGGGUGAUCCGCCACACUGGGACUGAGACACGGCCCAGACUCCUACGGGAGGCAGCAGUGGGGAAUAUUGGACAAUGGGCGGAAGCCUGAUCCAGCCAUGCCGCGUGUGUGAAGAAGGCCUUUUGGUUGUAAAGCACUUUAAGCGAGGAGGAGGCUACCUGGAUUAAUACUCUGGGAUAGUGGACGUUACUCGCAGAAUAAGCACCGGCUAACUCUGUGCCAGCAGCCGCGGUAACAC
rnacentral:rRNA from 1 species